rnacentral:lncRNA from 1 species
GCCCUACCACCUUCCUCCAUGUGAGGACAUAAUGUUCCUCCCCUCCAAAGGGUACAGCAGCAAGGCACCAUCUUGGAAGCAGAGAGCAGCCCUCACCAGCAUGCAACCUUCUGGUGCCCUGAUCUUAGAGUCCCCAGCCUCCAGAACAACGGAGUCUCGCUGUGUCGCCGAGGCUGGAGUGCAGUGGCAUGAUCUCAGCUCACCGCAACCUCUGCCUCCCAGGUUCAAGUUAUUCUCAUGCCUCAGCCUCCUGAGUAGCUGGCAUGUGCCGCCAUGCCUGGCUAAUUUUGUAUUUUUAGUAAAGACAAUGUUUCUCCAUGUGGUCAGGCUGGUCUCAAACUUCUGACCUCAGUUUUGCAAAUACUUGCUUUUGGCAUCAGCGUACAGUUUGGCAUCUGCUUUGGAAAUAUUCUUGCAACUAAAGGCAGAAAAGACAUCUUUUGUGAAAGGUAAACCACAGGUAUAUUUUGGCUGCAGCAGUCAGGGGAAUAAAUACAAAAAGAGAAUAAUGGCUUUGUCAUUGGUUUUCCGUGCUUAAGAAGCAGGUGUUCCUCUGGUGCCCGCAGGAGCAGCCACCCCUGCUUGGGUGAGUGCAGGACGCCUCUCCAAGGUGGCUGCACACAGCAGGUGAACUGCUCACUCAGAAAGGGUCAUGGGCGGACUGGAUCUGCAACCUGCCGAGAACGCACCAGGCGGGUCCCUGAGCUGAAGGCUUGUCAACAGUACUUACCACAAACAACUCUUUCGGCU